GGGGCGUGCCCGCCGCGGCUCCUCCCUCUGGGCUCCGCGCCGGCUCUAGGAGCCCGGGUGCGGGUGGGAGCAAGCGAGCGAGCGUGUCCUCCUUCCGCCUCCCUCUCUUCCGUCGUCCGCACUGGGCUGGGGCGGCGGCGCCUGAGCGGUUCCCUCGCGAGCCUGUGCGGACCAAGCCGCUGGAGAAGAGGAGGAGCAGCCCGGGCGGGGCGGAGACGCUUGCGGGCUCCUCUCAGUCACUUCAGCCAAUCAACAGCCAGAACCGAUGGUUGCGUAGUGUCCCCACCCCCUCGGGCACGCCUCUCUUCGAUAAGCCACGCCCAACUGCCCUCCAGCCGCCUUCCCUUUCGGCGGUUUCCGCGCGGUCCUAAUGUGUGGUGGCUGACCGCGGGCUGGGGUGGGGAAGGACGCGGUAGGACUGUAGGAGAUGGCUAGGUGUGCUAGAGCGCGGCAAGGCGCUGCUGAGACCCGCGUGUGCGGUGGGAAGUGGGGAACUGCCCCUUUUCCAAGGGCCUGAACACAGCUUUUGACUACUGACUGUCCUGUUCUGCCUUCCUCUUCGCGUGGGCCACCGCCCCACAGCGCCGCUGGGUUCCCUUCGCGGCCGCAUGGUACGCGUCCCGGGAGCGAAGCUUCCCCUGGGGGGAGCGCGCUAACCUGAGCUCCUUCGGUGCACCGCCCUGCCGACUGUCUGGAAGUCAGCAAUGGGAUAUUCCCACCACAACUUUACCGGGAUCUCUGGGUUGACUCUCUGGGUUGAGGAUCGGGGAGCUGGGUCGGGAGGCUGGCUUGUGGCUGUGGUUGAGGGGCCCGGACGCCUCGAAAGCAGGAGGGUGCCCAGGCGAAGUGCAGGCUGCACCAUGCAAUCUUCCGGGCGCAGAGGCGACCCAACCCGACCUGAGGGAGAUCCACGGGCUCUGGGCCGAGGGGAGACGCAGUGGCUAAAAGGCCCUCCUCAUCUCAUCUGUAUUUAUCUAGGUCUGACCAUUCUUCUGUAUCGGAUUCCACCUACCAGAAGAAAAGAACUCACCGGUCUCCCCAACCAUUCCAGUGCCUGUGAAUCUCAUCUCCCUCUGACUUUGGAGCCCUUACUACCAAUUCAGCAACCCUGUUUUCCUCCAGUUAUUUUUGGGCCUAAUUCUUGUCUAUCCUGUGGGACAUGGACCACAUUUUAAACAUCUCUCUAUGCCUCUGUCACAAAAAUAAACUGAUUAAAGCUUGAUCUUUAAAUUCA
rnacentral:lncRNA from 1 species